rfam:Gracilibacillus kekensis strain CGMCC 1.10681 genome assembly, contig: Ga0079828_110
AACUUAUCCAGAGAGAAGGAGGGAACUGGCCCUGAGAAUUCUCAGCAACAGGCGAAAGCACUGUGCUACAUCCAGCAAGAAAUUCUUGGCAGAUAAGAG